UACGAAGGGGGCUAGCGUUGCUCGGAAUUACUGGGCGUAAAGCGCACGUAGGCGGCUUUCUAAGUCGGGGGUGAAAUCCUGGAGCUCAACUCCAGAACUGCCUUUGAUACUGGUAAGCUCGAGUCCGGGAGAGGUGAGUGGAACUGCGAGUGUAGAGGUGAAAUUCGUAGAUAUUCGCAAGAACACCAGUGGCGAAGGCGGCUCACUGGCCCGAUACUGACGCUGAGGCACGAAAGCGUGGGGAGCAAACAGG
rnacentral:rRNA from 1 species